rnacentral:rRNA from 1 species
CCUACGGGCGGCUGCAGUGGGGAAUAUUGCACAGUGGGCGCAAGCCUGAUGCAGCCAUGCCGCGUGUGUGAAGAAGGCCUUCGGGUUGUAAAGCACUUUCAGCGGGGAGGAAGGCGUUAAGGUUAAUAACCUUGUCGAUUGACGUUACCCGCAGAAGAAGCACCGGCUAACUCCGUGCCAGCAGCCGCGGUAAUACGGAGGGUGCAAGCGUUAAUCGGAAUUACUGGGCGUAAAGCGCACGCAGGCGGUCUGUCAAGUCGGAUGUGAAAUCCCCGGGCUCGACCUGGGAACUGCAUUCGAAACUGGCAGGCUAGAGUCUUGUAGAGGGGGGUAGAAUUCCAGGUGUAGCGGUGAAAUGCGUAGAGAUCUGGAGGAAUACCGGUGGCGAAGGCGGCCCCCUGGACAAAGACUGACGCUCAGGUGCGAAAGCGUGGGGAGCAAACAGGAUUAGAUACCCUAGUAGUC